GACGGGGGCCCGCACAAGCGGUGGAGUAUGUGGUUUAAUUCGAUGCAACGCGAAGAACCUUUACCUGGUCUUGACAUCCCAGAAAUCCCUUUGGAAACUUGGGAGUGCUUCCAUUAGGAAGAAUCUGGAGACAGGUGCUGCAUGGCUGUCGUCAGCUCGUGUCGUGAGAUGUUGGGUUAAGUCCCGCAACGAGCGCAACCCUUGCCUUUAGUUGCCAGCAGUUCGGCUGGGCACUCUAAAGGGACUGCCGGUGUUAAACCGGAGGAAGGUGGGGAUGACGUCAAGUCCUCAUGGCCUUUAUGACCAGGGCUACACACGUACUACAAUGGCCGAUACAAAGGGCAGCGACAUUGCGAAAUGAAGCCAAUCCCAUAAAUUCGGUCUCAGUCCGGAUUGGAGUCUGCAACUCGACUCCAUGAAGUUGGAAUCGCUAGUAAUCGUGGAUCAGCAUGCCACGGUGAAUACGUUCCCGGGCCUU
rnacentral:rRNA from 1 species